rnacentral:rRNA from 1 species
GCAGUCCAAGAAUAUUAGUCAAUGCUCGCAAGAGUGAACGAGCUAACUGAAAGAAUAUACAAUCUAAGGUUAGGAAUCAUAUAAUUUUUAUUAUAGGUUUAAAGACUAAUCUAACUAACAGUGUCGUCCAAAUUCUGGUGCCAGAAGACUCGGUAAUACCAGAGACGCUAACGUUAAUCAUCUUGAAUGGGCAUAAAGGGUUUGUAGGCGGCUUAUUUAUUAAUAGGCUAGAAUCUUAUAGAGGUUAAUAAAAUACUUAGAGGAGGGCUGAUAUCCUUAGAUCCUAAGUGGAAUCCUAAUUGCGAAGGCCAUUUUCCACUACAGAUUGACGCUGAGACACGAAGGUUAGGACAGGAACUAGGAUUAGAGACCCUAUUACCCCUAACUGUAAACGAUGAAUGGAAGAUAUUUACAACUGUAAGUGUCGAAGUGAAUACGAUAACCAUUCCGCCUUGCUAGUAUACUUGCAAAAGUGAAAACAAAAAAAUUAGUCGGUCCUAAAGCAAACGAAGUGAAGCAUGUUAUUUAAUUC